rnacentral:misc_RNA from 1 species
AUAUCUCUAUUAAAAGAUUUUUUCUUUUAACGGGUCCUUGGGCUUGGUGAUGAGAUUAGCCUCUUUGUAUCACCUUGCCUUAAAAGUAUGAGUGGAUGAGUGUCAGCCAUAGAUUUUUGUUAAGGCAAACCCAUAAAAAUCUUGUGCUUUUGUCAUCUGCUACCAAACAAACACACACACAUGCAUAAUUCUUUAUGUAUUCCU